CACGGGGGUUGCGAGCGUUGUCCGGAAUUACUAGGCGUAAAGGGCAGGCAGGCGGAUCCAUAAGUUUAUCGUUUAAGGCGUCGGCUUAACCGGCGUAGGGCGGUAGAUACUGUGGAUCUGGAAUGCGGUUGGGGAAGACAGAAUUCCUGGUGUAGCGGUGGAAUGCGCAGAGAUCAGGAGGAAUACCGAAGGCGAAGGCAGUCUUCCAAGCCGUUAUUGACGCUCAACUGCGAAGGUGUGGGUAUCAAACAGGAUUAGAUGCCCGGGUAGUCCCUGA
rnacentral:rRNA from 1 species